AACGCGAAGAACCUUACCUGGGUUUGACAUCCCCGGACAACCGUAGAGAUACGGCUUCUGUAGCAAUACAGCCGGGAGACAGGUGCUGCAUGGCUGUCGUCAGCUCGUGUGGUGACAUGUUGGGUUAAGUCCCGCAACGAGCGCAACCCUUGUCUUUAGUUGCCAGCAUUCAGUUGGGCACUCUAAAGAGACUGCCGUGGUGAACACGGAGGAAGGUGGGGAUGACGUCAAGUCCUCAUGGCCUUUAUAUCCAGGGCGACACACGUGAUACAAUGGUUGGUACAGAGGGAAGCGAAGGGGCGACCUGGAGCAAAUCUCAAAAAGCCAAUCUCAGUUCGGAUUGGAGUCUGCAACUCGACUCCAUGAAGUUGGAAUCGCUAGUAAUCGCGGAUCAGCACGCCGCGGUGAAUACGUUCCCGGGCCUUGUACACACCGUGUCGA
rnacentral:rRNA from 1 species